rnacentral:rRNA from 1 species
UACAUGGGGUGCAAACGUUGCUCGGAAUUAUUGGGCGUAAAGCGCACGUAGGCGGUUCGUUAAGUCGGAUGUGAAAGCCCUCGGCUCAACUGAGGAAGUGCACCCGAAACUGGCGAGCUUGAGUACGAAAGAGGGUCGCGGAAUUCCCGGUGUAGAGGUGAAAUUCGUAGAUAUCGGGAGGAACACCGGUGGCGAAGGCGGCGACCUGGGUCGAUACUGACGCUGAGGUGCGAAAGCGUGGGGAGCAAACAGG